UAAUACCAGCGCCACGAGUGGGAACUAUUAUUAUUGGGCCUAAAGCGUCCGUAGCCUGUUUAAUAAAUUUCUUGUGAAAUUGUUGAGCUUAACUUAACAACGUGCAGGAAAGACUGUUAAACUUGGGACUGGGAGGGGUUAGAAGUAUGUUUAGAGUAGCGGUAAAAUGUUAUAAUUCUAAAGAGACUACCAAUGGCGAAGGCAUCUAACCAGAACAGGUCCGACGGUGAGGGACGAAAGCUAGGGUAGCAAACCGGAUUAGAUACCCGAGUAGUCCUAGCUGUAAACGCUGCGAGCAAGAUGUUGCGUAUUCUUCGUGAAUAUGCAGUAUCGAAGAGAAGUCGUUAAGCUCGCCGCCUGGGAAGUAUGGUCGCAAGACUG
rnacentral:rRNA from 1 species